rnacentral:lncRNA from 10 species
CUAGGCCCUCAAAAUCCAAGAUCUAGAGCAUUUCUCCUGAUGAUCAAGAUAUAGUGCUGAGCUUGGUGGAAAUUCACUACUAAUCCAACAAGAAUUAGGUUAUGUUGUCUAUUGAACAGUGCUGGAUUAGAGGUCUGGAGGCCAAAAGACAAGAAUAAUCAACAAAUUAGGGAGAAGUGCUACCACCCUUGAAACGCUCCUCUGGAACCACACAAGUCUUCAGUACACACAGCUCAUUGAUGAAAAGUUGUGCAUCACAGUUGCACCCACCCAUCCCGAAUGAAAAGAUCCCUUUCAUCAGACAUCAAAUCACUCCAUGUUCAAGUUUGGAUUUCCUUCCAGAAUUUUAGAAAGCAAAGAGAAAUCAGAAAAAGAAUGAUACUUGGAGAACAGAAUUUUCUCUCCUGGCUGUUGGAAACGACACUGUUCUUUAGCCAAAAACAAAUGUGCCCUUUCACAUAGAUAACCCCAUUUAUCCUCUGAACCCUGGGACAGUGAAGUCCGUCUUCCCACUUUCAAGGAAGUGGGAACCCCCCAGAGUUUGGAAAUGCCUCCCAGCUCUGGGAUGAGGACCUCAGUGGGUAGCGGCAGGACAUUGUGUUCUGUCUCUUGGUGCAACUCCAAGUCUCAGAGGUACUCAAGCUUAUUAGCUAUGGACAUAGACAAGAGACCUAAACUCUCUGGGCCUCAGCCUCCUCAUCUGUAAGUUGGAAUACAUAUAGUAACUAAGGGUGUUGUGGCAAGGAAUGAAUUAGGUAAUGUGUGUGAUUUGCUUAUCACAUUAUCUGACAAAUACUAGGCACUCUUUUGUGUCUGGUUUCUUUCCCUCUAUGUGAGAUUAGUCCACAUUCUUUCAUGCAGUUAUCAUUUGCUCAUUCUCAAAGUGGUGUAAUAUUCCACCAUGUAAAUAUACGGUAGUCCUCCCUUUUCCAUGAGGGAAUACAUCCCAAGGCCCCCAAGGGAUCCCAGAAAUCAAUAUAGUACCAUACUGUAUGUAUAUUAUUUUUUUCUAUACAUAUAUACCGAAGAUAACAUUAAUUUAGAAAUUAGGCACAGUAAGAGGUUAGCAACAAUAACCAAUAAUAAAAUAGAACAAAUAUAAUAGUAUACUGUUAUAAAAGUUAUGUGAAUGUGGUUUCUCUUUUUCUCAAAAUAUCUUAUUGUGAUAUGCUCAUCUAUUUUCAGACCAAGGCUGACCAUAGGUAACUGAAACCUAAGAAAGCAAAACAGAGAGAACGACUGUACCACACUUUAUUCUAUUGUUGAUGGCCACUUGAAUAGUUUCAGGCCUGCAGCCGUUAUGAAUAGUGAUGCUAUGAACAUUCCAAAUCAUGUGUAUUCAUGGACACAAGUACAUAUCGGUGUUGGGACAAUACAGGGGGGUCACUGUAAAGUCUAAGAGUGUGGAUGUAUUCAGUUUUAGGAGAUUUUAGUAUAUCAUUUUUCAGAGUUUUGUAUCUACUUAUCCAAACAUCAGCAAUGAACGGAUUUGCAGUUCCCCCAUAUCCUCAGUGACACUAGAUAUUACUAGAUAUUGAGAAUUUUCUUUUUAGUCAUUCUGGUGAAAAUGUGUUAGUAUCUUGUUGGGUUGUCGGUUGUAUUUUACUGCAAACUGAUGAAGCUGUGCAUGUUUUCAUUUUUUUUUUUUUUUUUUAGCAAUGUGGAUAUCCUCUUUUGCAAAGUGCCUAUUCACAUCUUUUGCCCAUUUUCUCUUGUUUUUUUUUUUUCUAGAUACAAGAUAUUUGUUGGCUCUGUGUAUUAUGGGAAGCAUUUUCCACUCUGUAGCUUCUCUUUUCACACUCUUAAUGGUGUCUAUUGAUGAAGAGUUCUUUGUUUUAAAAGAGUCCAUUAUUUUUCCUCCAUGGUUAGCACCUUUGACCUAGUUAUAUAAUCUUUGCCUACCCCUAAAGUCAUGAAAAAUUCUCCUUUAUUUUAUUCUUAAAGUUUAUUGUUCUAUCUUGCAUAGUUAGAUCCACAGUAAAUCUUGAACUGAUUUUUGGAUAUAACUGUGAGGUUGAGUUGAAGAUUUCCUUAUGGGAAAUUAACUCAGAAUCAUUUCUUGAAAAGCAUGGCCAAAUUCGUUUUUGUUUUUGUUUUAAUCUCCAUAAGUACUAUAUUUCAAUAUAUAUUAAAAUACAAAAUGUAUGUGAAAUAUAUGUAUUCAAUAUAUAGAAACAAUAUAUUUUAAUAUUUCAGUUGCAAUUACUUUUUUUAAAAUUUUACUUUAAUUUCUGGGAUACAUGUGCAGAAUAUGCAGUUUUGUUACAUAGGUAUACAUGUGCCAUGGUGGUUUGCUGCACCUAUUGACCUGUCCUCUAAGUUCCCUCCCCUCGCCCCCCAUGCCCCAACAGGCCCCGGUGUGUGAUGUUUCCCUCCCUGCGUCCAUGUGUUCUCAAUGUUCAGCUCCCACUUAUGAGUAAGAACAUGCUGUACUUAGUUUUCUGGUCCUGUGUUAGUUUGCUGAGUAUGAUGGCUUCCAGCUUCAUCUAUGUCCCUGCAAAGGACAUGAUCUCAUUCUUUUUAUGGCUGCAUAGUAAUCCACGGUGUAUAUGUGCCACAUUUUCUAUAUCCAGUCUAUCAUUGAUGGGCAUUUGGGUUGGUUCUAUGUCUUUACUAUUGUAAAUAGUGCUGCAAUAAAUGUAUGUGUGCAU